rnacentral:rRNA from 1 species
ACGAGCGAGUGCUUAAAACUCAAAGAACUUGGCGGCUUGUUAACUACCUAGGGGAAUAUGCGCCUUAAUCCGAUGGUCCCCGUAACAUCUUACUGGAUCUUGAAAAAGUGCAGUUGGUGUAUUGCCGUUGUCAGCUUGUUGUUCGAGCAAGGAAAAACAGGCUUAAUGGGUCUCUAGUGAUUAGGGUCACGAGAAUCCGCGAAUUCAGGUCGUAAUGCUGCCUACGGUCCAAGGGAGUGGGUAUUACAAUUUAUAUUUAAAAUUACGGAUCUUUAUUGUGAAACUUUAGGGAAGAAGGUGAACUUAGGAGUAA